UACCUGGUUGAUCCUGCCAUUAGUGAUAUGUUUGUCUUAAAGAUUAAGCCAUGCAUGUGUAAGUAUGAACAAAUUCAGACUGUGAAACUUCGAAUGGCUCAUUAAAUCAGUUAUAGUUUGUCUGAUGGUGUCUACUACUUGGAUAACCAUAGUAAUUCUAGAGCUAAUAUGUGCAACAAACCCCAAAUUUUGGAAGGGAUGCAUUUAUUAGAUACAAGGUCGACAUGGGCUCUACCCAUUGCUGUGAUUAUUCAUGAUAACUCGACGGAUCGCACGGUCAUCGUGCCGGCGAUGCAUCAUUCAAAUUUAAUCCCUAUCAACAUUCAAUGGUAGGAUGGUGGCCUACCAUGAUGGUGAUAGGUGACGGUGAAUUAUGGUUUGAUUUUAGAGAGCGAAUCUGAGAAAUGGCUACCACAUCCAAGGAAGGCAGUAGGCAUGCAAAUUACCUAAUCUUGACACGGGAAGGUGGUAACAAUAAAUAAUACUACCAGGCUCAAUAAGUCUGGUAAUUAGAAUAAGUACAAUCUAAAUCCCUUAACGAGGAUCCAUUAAUGGGCAAGUCUUAUGCCAGCACACACGGUAAUUCCAUCUCCAAUAGUGUAUAUUGAAGUUGUUGAAUUAAAAAAGCUCAUAGUUGGACUUUGGGAUGGGCCGGCCGAUCCGCCUAUAGUAUGCACCGGUCGUCUCGUCCCUUCUGCCAGAGAUGAAUUCCUAUCUUUAACUGGUCAGGUCGUGCCUCCGGCACUGUUCCAUUAAAGAAAUUAGAGUGCUCAAAGUAAGCCUACGAUCGUUAUACAUUAGCAUGGGAUAACAUUAUAGGAUUUUGGUCCUAUUACGUUGGCCUUCAGUAUCAGAGAAAUGAUUAAUAUUUAAUAGGGACAGUCGGAGGUAUUCGUAUUUCAUAGUCAGAGGUGAAAUUCUUGAAUUUAUGAAAGACGAACAACUGCGAAAGAAUUUUCCAAAGAUGUUUUCAUUAAUCAAGAAUGAAAUUUGGUGGAUUGAAGAUGAUAAGAUACUGUCCAAGUCUCAACCACACACAAUGCCGACCAAGGAUCUGCAGAUGUUGCUUUUAGGACUCCAUUGGUACCUUAUGAGAAUUCAAAGUUCUUGGGUUCCAGGGACAGAAUGGUCCCAAGGCUGAAACUUAAAGGAAUUGAUAAAAGGUCACCACCAGGAGUGGAGCCUGCGGCUUAAUUUGACUCAGCAUGGGGAAACUAACCAGGUCCAGACAUAGUAAGGAUUGACAGACUGAGAGCUCUUUCUUGAUUCUAUAGGUGGUGGUGCAUGGCCGUUCUUAGUUGGAGAAGCGAUUUGUCUGGUUAAUUUCAUUAACGAACGAGACCUCAGUCAGCUAACUAGCUAUGCGGAGGUAUCCCUUUGUGGCCAGCUUCUUAGAGGGACUAUGGCUUUUUUUAGGCUACGAAAGAUUGAGGCAAUAACAGGUCUGUGAUGCCCUUAGAUGUUCAGGGCCGCACGCGCGCUACACUGAUGUAUUCAAUGAGUUUAUAACCUUUGUCGAUAGGCCUGAGUAAUCUUUAAAAUUUAAUGAUGAUAGGGAUAGAUCAUUGCAAUUGUUAGUCUUCAUCGAGGAAUUACUAGUAAGCGCAACUCAUCAGCUCGCAUUGACUACAUCCCUACCCUUUGCACACACAGCCCGUUGAUCCUACCUAUUGAAUGAUACGGUAAAAUAUUCGGAUUACGGCAACGUGGGUGGUUCGCUGCCUGCAACAUUGUGAGAAGUCCAUUGAACCUUAUCAUUUAGAGGAAGGAAAAGUCAUAAACAAGGUUUUUGUAGGUGAACCUGCGAAAGGAUCAUUG
rfam:Capsicum annuum cultivar Zunla-1 chromosome 2, whole genome shotgun sequence